rnacentral:rRNA from 1 species
AUACGGAGGGUGCAAGCGUUAAUGGGAAUUACUGGGCGUAAAGGGUACGUAGGCGGUUAGAUAAGUUGGAUGAGAAAGCCCUGGGCUCAACCUAGGAACUGCAUUCAAAACUGUCUAACUAGAGUGUAUAAGAGGUUAGCGGAAUUCCAGGUGUAGCAGUGAAAUGCGUAGAUAUCUGGAGGAACAUCAGUGGCGAAGGCGGCUAACUGGUAUAACACUGACGCUGAGGUACGAAAGCGUGGGGAGCGAACGGGAUUAGAAACCCCGGUAGUCC